CUCCUGAAGGGCCCUCCAAGGAUGAUGAUGUUCCUGUGGAAGGUGUGACCAUUUCUGCUCCGCUCAGCAGAGCCACUUGACAACAUUCUUUGGCUCCAGUUGCUGAUUUUUGACACGCAAAAGGAAAAGAGAUUGGAAUUUUAUGUGUGACUGAAGACAUUUCCUUUUGGGCUUUACAUCUGGCUUAUGCAGAGAUCUUGAACACUUUGCAGCUGUCAUCAUGUCAUGGUGUGUGUCCAUUUGACUCAGAAGAAGCCUGAUUUCUGAAGCAAGGCACAGGUGUCAAGAGCUGUUUCUUUUGGAGCUGUCCCGUGUGCUCAGUGCUGAAGUUCAGAAUCUCUGCUCGUGUGUAAAUCCAGCAAGUCUGAGUGAAGAUUUUAGCCAGCUUCUGUGUCAUUGCUUUCUCCCUCCACGGGAAGCCAGCCUCUGAGGCUCUGAACAUCUGCUGCUGGGCAGCAGAGUGACAGUGCCGGUGUCAGAGCGUGGCAUUGCCGCUGGAGCUGGGGACAGCUCUACCCUCGUUCAGCAUAUGGCAACAUGUGUUCUCAUCACUCAUUUAUCUGCUGAUCCGUGCCUACAUCUGAAUCCUGACGAGGGGGAGAGAGUGGUGAGUGGAAACCUGCCCUUGGAUACGGAGAGUUCCUUGGAAUCAUCACACUCAAGGUUAAACAAAGAUCAGCUGAAAUGGGUUGCUCCCAGGAGUCCACAUUGCACGCU